CAGCCCUGUAGGAGACACCUCCAGAGAAAGUAACAGCUCUCAAUUGAUUAGCUGAGGAAGACACCAGACAAAUGAGUUACACUGUUUUGGACUCCCCAACACAACCCAGCCACCGGCUGAAUGCCACCAAAUUACCUUCUAGUUAAAGGUUUAUGGAGCAAACGAAUCACCUAUUCAAUAUCUGCUUGAAUUUCUGACUCAAAAUACAUCAGGAGCAUGGUCAUAUAAAUUGUUAUUUAUUCAAAUUAUGGAAUAUUAUAAAGCAGUGAAAAACAAGUUAACUAUAACCAGAUGGAAUAACUUUGAAGCCUCAGGGGCUGGAUCCUGACAUGAACCAGACACCUCCAGAAUUCUAUCCCAAGCAAAAGAUUAUUUCAAGGCCAGAACUCACUCCCUGCUGGAGACUGACUACAAGAUCCACUGAGAUUGAUGUGUAACCUGAUUGGGCCCACAGUGAUGCUAGCCCCUUCACCAGAUGGAACAAUAAUUCCAGACAAGCCAUCAGAGCAGGUCACACCACUUGACACCUU
rnacentral:lncRNA from 1 species